rnacentral:rRNA from 1 species
CCGGCGUCUCACGCAUGCAGUCGAACGGGGAGAGUUGGAGCACUAAUCUUCUAGUGGCAAACGGGUGAGUAACACGUAGGCAUCUACCUUCGAGUGGGGAAUAACGAGUCGAAAGAUUCGCUAAUACCGCAUGAUCUAUGCUGAAAGACGCAUAGCAAAGGUCCUGCAAGGGAUCGCUGGAAGCGGAGCCUGCGGCCGAUCAGGUAGUUGGUGAGGUAACGGCUCACCAAGCCUCUGACCGGUAGCUGAUCUGAGAGGAUGACCAGCCACACUGGCACUGAGAGACGGGCCAGACUCCUACGGGAGGCAGCAGCGAGGAAUAUUGCACAAUGGAGGCAACUCUGAUGCAGUAACGCCGCGUGCGGGACGAAGACCUUCGGGUUGUAAACCGCUUUUGAGAGAG